CUGCAGUUCCGCAGUGCCUGUACACGAGCCGCCACUGCUAUCCAGUGUUUUAUCUGUGUUGCACCUGCCUGUCAGAUUCACAAGCAAAAGUAUUCAGACUCUGAAUCAGACUCCAGGAGUUCUGGCAGUACGGUGGAGCUAUCACUCAAGUAUAAGAAGCUGCCCCUACCACCUGAUGAGAGUGACCAGCCACCUCUUCAACGUGCCAAUGGAAUGGUGAAGAGACCAGCCUUGGCAGCAGAUGUUGGUGUUACUUCAGCUUCACACAUGACACCACACCUAAGUGCUAGUGAUGCAACAUUUCAAAAUCCAGAGGAUAAUUAUUAUUUAUGUGUAUAUAUUUAAAUACUAAUAUUUGAAAGAAUAUGUUUAUAAGCUAGUCAAAAUAUAAAUCCAAGUCCAAGAUGGUGCAGCAGAUGCUGUACAGCAGAUGCUGUCAUGAACAUCAGCUCUGAGGCCAGGAGCACCGGCCCCUUCCAGACACCUUGCCUCCCUCAGUGUAGUGCAGCUGUUCAAGAUAUGCACUAAAUGUUGCAAUGACAUCAUGUGUUCAUAAAGUGGAAGCUUUUAAGUUUAGGAAAAUGUGGGAAGACACCUUUAUUUAAUUUUAAGUCACUUGUGACAUAGUCAAAAUGCUAUUAUCAUUAUUAUUAUUUUUAUCAGGUUAUAUGAUGUAUACAUAAACUGUAUAUUUAUUUGCAAGGAUAUGCUGUGAUUAUGGAACAUAGCUGUGAUGUAUUUUCAGUGCAUUGAUUUGUGAGGAUAUGCUGUGAUCAUGGAACAUGGUUGUGAUGUAUUUUUAUACUGAAAAUUAUAUUAAUAAUUUUGCAGAGCUAUAUUUUGUUAAACUUUGCAAUGGCAUUUUUUUUUUUUUUUUUUAAGCUUAGGAAGAUAUGGGAAGACACCACUGGGCAUGA